UUGUGCUGGUGAUGAUUGAAGAGCAAGCAAUGGUGAAUUCGAUGAAUUUGUUCACAUGUCGUUGGGGGUGCACGACUGUGGUCAUAUGCAUUCUUAAGCGGUUCAUUUGAGGCAUAC
rnacentral:snoRNA from 1 species